AGCGAACGCUGGCGGCAGGCCUAACACAUGCAAGUCGAGCGCCCCGCAAGGGGAGCGGCAGACGGGAGAGUAACACGUGGGAACGUACCCUUCAGUUCGGAACAACCCAGGGAAACUUGGGCUAAUACCGGAUACGCCCGAAAGGGGAAAGAUUCAUCGCUGAAGGAUCGGCCCGCGUCUGAUUAGCUAGUUGGUGGGGUAAUGGCCCACCAAGGCGACGAUCAGUAGCUGGUCUGAGAGGAUGAUCAGCCUCACUGGGACUGAGACACGACCCAGACUCCUACGGGAGGCAGCAGUGGGGAAUAUUGGACAAUGGGCGCAAGCCUGAUCCAGCCAUGCCGCGUGGAUGAUGAAGGCCCUAGGGUUGUAAAGUCCUUUCGGCGGGGAAGAUAAUGACGGUACCCGCAGAAGAAGCCCCGGCUAACUUCGUGCCAGCCGCCGCGGUAAGAC
rnacentral:rRNA from 1 species